UACAGAGGUCUCAAGCGUUGUUCGGAUUCAUUGGGCGUAAAGGGUGUGUAGGUGGCGCGCUAAGUCGGGUGUGAAAUUUCGGAGCUUAACUCCGAAACUGCAUUCGAUACUGGCGUGCUUGAGGACUGGAGAGGAGACUGGAAUUCCUGGUGUAGCGGUGAAAUGCGCAGAUAUCAGGAGGAACACCGGUGGCGAAGGCGGGUCUCUGGGCCGAUACUGACGCUGAGGAGCGAAAGCGUGGGGAGCGAACAGG
rnacentral:rRNA from 1 species